rnacentral:rRNA from 1 species
AUUGAACGCUGGCGGCAGGCCUAACACGUGCAAGUCGAGCGGAUGAAGGGAGCUUGCUCCUGGAUUCAGCGGCGGACGGGUGAGUAAUGCCUAGGAAUCUGCCUGGUAGUGGGGGGUAACGUCCGGAAACGGGCGCUAAUACCGCAUACGUCCUGAGGGAGAAAGUGGGGGAUCUUCGGACCUCACGCUAUCAGAUGAGCCUAGGUCGGAUUAGCUAGUUGGUGGGGUAAAGGCCUACCAAGGCGACGAUCCGUAACUGGUCUGAGAGGAUGAUCAGUCACACUGGAACUGAGACACGGUCCAGACUCCUACGGGAGGCAGCAGUGGGGAAUAUUGGACAAUGGGCGAGAGCCUGAUCCAGCCAUGCCGCGUGUGUGAAGAAGGUCUUCGGAUUGUAAAGCACUUUAAGUUGGGAGGAAGGGCAGUAAGUUAAUACCUUGCUGUUUUGACGUUACCAACAGAAUAAGCACCGGCUAACUUCGUG